rnacentral:rRNA from 1 species
UACGGAUGGUGCAAGCGUUAUCCGGAAUCACUGGGUUUAAAGGGUGCGUAGGCGGCUGUAUAAGUCAGAGGUGAAAGCCCGGAGCUUAACUUCGGAACUGCCUUUGAUACUGUAUAGCUUGAAAUAGGUUGAGGUCAGCGGAAUGUGGCAUGUAGCGGUGAAAUUCAUAGAUAUGCCAUAGAACACCAAUUGCGAAGGCAGCUGGCUGGGCCUUAUUUGACGCUGAGGCACGAAAGCGUGGGGAGCGAACAGG